GUACCCAUUCGCGUAUGUGGGC
rnacentral:siRNA from 1 species